UGUUUAUUCAGUGAUGUGAUGGCCCUAACUCGUGUUUCUGGAUGAGAAAGUGGGAUUGGGUGACUGGAAAGUGUUCUUGUUGCCUUCGUAUGUAAGUGCUACUCAGUGUACUCAUAACAUAUGCCAAGUUCAUCUGUGAAAAUCCUUCUCUUCCUUAUUUCAACGGUUAUCUAGAGCCUAACACUUCAACAGCAGUGACUAUAUUUCUGUAACAUAAAAGAAGCUAUUGUAAUUUAACAUCUUACUCCAUUUUGGAUGGUUCUAGCUUUGAAUUGUUUCAAAAGAGGACUUUUGUAGUUAAGUUGAAAAAAACCUGACAGGUUUUUUCCCCCGCCUGUGGGUAAACAUGCAACACAUACACAUAUAAAGUCAAGUAUCUUAGGAAAUUUCAUAUUUGCUGGUUUUGUGUAUAUAAGAUUUCAUACUUCAGAUAGUUGUAGAAAUGAAGAAUUAAAUUUAAUUUUUAAAACAAACAUUUACAUAUAAAGUUGUUUUGAAUUUGAAAGCAGCGUCUUAUUCAGUAAUAUGUUUUUUUGAAAAAGAAAAUUGAGACUAACAAGGUCAAAGCAUAUUAGCUACUGAAAAGUAUUAAUUCAGUACUAAAGGUGGAUAAGCAGCAGUUCUUACCUUUUGUAAUUUAUGUCUGAUAAAAUUUCUUCUGAAGUAUUAUAUAAGGUUUGUUAAAAUGUAUCUUAUUUAGAAAAAAAGUUAGUUCAAUGUUAGGUAUUCAAGAGGAAAUAUGAAUGAAAAUCAGCCACUCUGUACAUGAUAUAAAAGUGUGUGCAAAUAUGCAUUUUUCAUGAGAAAUUGAUUUUGUGUGUCACUGCACAGUCACUAAACUCUGUAUGUCUAAAUGUUAUAAGUGAUGUAGACUUAAUUUCUGAGAAAUGUUUAAUUAGCCAAUGGUUUUAAACUCACUGAUAUUUGGCCAUCAUCAUAUUUAGAGUAACAGUUGGCCAAUAGAGUGAUAGUAUAUAAUUUGAGAAAGAAUUUUAUUUGUCAAAAGUUCAGAAACAGAAUGAUGUUUAAAAAACAUUUAGGGAGUGAGAAGAGGCAGAGUAAAUACCAUUUUUUCAUAUUCUGUAAUGUUUAGUCAUUGUUUGCUCUUUAAAUGAAUAUUUUAUCUUAGUAAGGACUUUUUUCCUUUGAGGAGAAAUGGUUGAAUUUUCAGCGUUCAUGCCAUUUGUCCCUUAGUUUUUCUACCUUGUCUCAACAAUGCUCCAGUUGUGAAUGCUGAAGGUUACUUCCCUCAUCACUGUUUUUCUUCAUUCUUUCCUUAAACCAGAAACCUAUUUUUGCUUUUAAAAAUGCAAAUAAAAGAUACUUGUGUAUUCCACUGGCAGUUACAUUCAGUAGUGUUUCUUUUCUUUGCAUUAUUGUUGGGGAAGUUUUAAAAAAAUAAAAAUAAUGCUUCACAAAACAAAGCUAUAAAUCUUCAACUAUCACAGAGAUUUAUUUCAAAAAGAGCUAAACAAUUUCUGCUAAAGGCAUCCAAGUGACAGCUAACGUAAGGAUUGCAGUGGAUUCAAAGGUAAGCCUUUUAAUUUAUAUUCAAAUUAACUCAAUAUUCAUAUUUAAUAAAAAAAGAACUGAUCAUUUCACCAACCUUUAUCAUUAGCAGGAAUAUACGUUUUAUUCAAUACCAGAGGCUGUUUGCAGAUCUAUUCUUCAUUAUGCAAAAAACUCAUAUAACACAGAUUUUAGUAUACUUUUUGGGACACACUUAUGGAGAGUACAUACUGAAUGUUAAAGAAAAAACAGAAAUAUUACCUAUAUAUGUGGAGUCUCCAAAUGUGACUAUCAUUAAUAAUUAUGCCACAUAAUUAUAUUUUCAAUGGCCAUUUGGAGGGCCUAGUGUUUUUGCGAAGUGCCUCUGGACUUGUUCCAAGGACAAGAAGCAAGAAGUGCGGUGAAGAAUCAGUAAGAACUUAUUACCUGAUGGAAAUGAGGAAAAGCAGCCCUUGAAGUCUGAUGAAGGCAAUUCACCAUGGAGAAUAGGUGUUACCACGAGGAAUGCAAGUAUGGUCACCUUAAACAUUAGCCAACAGAUGCAUUUUAAGCCACUGUGGCAAUAUUUUCUCCCUACACUCCUAAAACUUUGCAAGAAAAGAUUAUGAAAAAUGCUCUUCUCUAUUUCCAAGUA